CAGUAGCCACGGGAAUACGGAGGGAGCUAGCGUUGUUCGGAAUUACUGGGCGUAAAGCGCGCGUAGGCGGUUACUCAAGUCAGAGGUGAAAGCCCGGGGCUCAACCCCGGAACUGCCUUUGAAACUAGGUGACUAGAAUCUUGGAGAGGUCAGUGGAAUUCCGAGUGUAGAGGUGAAAUUCGUAGAUAUUGGGAAGAACACCGGUGGCGAAGGCGGCAACCUGGUCCGAUACUGACGCUGAGGCGCGAAAGCGUGGGGAGCAAACAGGAUUAGAUACCCCAGUAGUCCCUGUCUCUUAUAC
rnacentral:rRNA from 1 species